UGCGUUAAACCACCCCGUCUCGUUGCCUCUGUAGUGGAGUGAUGCGUCUUUCCUGGCCAGGGGAUUUCCUUCUUCCAGAAGCACUCAAAGUUAUUACUGUGGAGGAGGAUCUGAGCUCUGCUGCGACGACUGUUUGAAGUUCCCAACAACAUGUUGCACUUUUAACACUCCCGGAGAUCACAGCCACGGCAGAAGGGGCAAUUAUGGCGUCCAAAUGUCAAGACCUAAUGUGGACACAUGGACCAGAGGAAGGGGUGACACGGCUGCUCCGGAGGGACUCUCACCCUGGUUUGGUCAGCAGAUGUGAGUGACUGUGUGGGGGUGUUAAAAGGCGGGAGGCUGGUUGAGACGAACAGGAGGCAAAGUUGGUUGAAUAACACAUUUUGAAAGCUUAAAUGACAUUAGUGGUGGAAGAAUUUCAUCCUUAAAAGAUCUGUUCCUGCACUUAACCUUUAAAAACGUAUAAUCAGGAUAAUUAGAAAAACUUGUACAGAUAUAUUAAAGCUGCAGUAGCUGAUAUUUUAUUUAAACGAUAGG